UAAUCAUCCAUCUUCUCCACUUGGUCCCACAUCUCUGCAUAACCCUGAGUAUCACAGCGCUGACCAGGAUUUACUGUUUCUUAUUCUUUUCCUGACCGAGAGGACAACGUCUCAUGCUGGGCUGAAAGAAGACAUUAAUAAAGAGCUAUGCAGUGACCUCUUGCCUGUUGGUCCAAUGCUAUGCCCAUCUUACUUCCACUUCAGUGACUUCCUGCCUCCUACUGCGAGGGGCUGAUCUGCAACAAAGGCAACAGGAGGGGUGGCCUUGUUCUGCUAUUCUUGAUGUCCAGAGGACCCACCGAUCUCAGUGUCAUUUAAUUCACUGUGACCGCUACCCACACAGAAACUCCAGAGUGUUCACAUGGAGAGGAAGGGUUGUUUAUUAUUAUUAUUAUUAUUAUUAUUAAUCUACUGAGGAUUUGUGUCAUUGCAGCCUAGUCUAGCCUGGGAUGACCGACACACCAGAAUCCUAAUGGACAAAGCCCUGCUCUCUGUAUCUCCAGUUCCUAGCCCUGGGUGGAUGGUUGCUCAGGAAAUUCACAGCAGACACCCGGACGAACCCACCAACAAGGCAUCACUACCAUUUUGAGCAGAACAAAGUGGCAUCAGAACAUGACCUGCGGACAACCAACUAUUAUCUUGGCUACAGCAACAUGGAUGUUUGGGGCCUGAGGGACUCUGAACGAUACAUCAAGCUGCACUGUGACACCUGGUCAGAGCCCUGCUCAGGAUGAGGCCCGUUCUGCUUUCAUGCCUUUGGGAAGAAAUGGCCAUUGCUGCAGCUUCUCAGGAAAUGACAGCACACGGAAUGUGUUUGCUGAAAUCGUAAGAGUUCUCAGGAGCGUAGCUAGAAAGCCACUGAUGUCUUCCCAUCACAUCGUAUCCCAGAAGGGAAGUGGAGGCCUGGAGGCGUCAGCUCUUGCUACUCCGCACUUAGCAGGUGCCGUGGAGGAGGGGAUUCAGAGGACUCAGUGCUGCGAGAAGCCUGCCGGGGGCAGCAUUCUGAGGCCUGGGCUUUCGUCCUAAGUGAAGAUGUCAUUGGUGAGGCCUGAACGUUCGGUACCAGCUUUGCUCGUCCCCGACUCAAGUGACCGGAGCCACGCUGCAGGUCUGUCUUUGCCCUCCAGAGAGGAGGGAGUGCUGGCCCGUGGUCCGUUUUCCGGAGGAAUGGAGUUGUUUGCUUGGCGCUGACAGCGUCUCUCCGGCAGCUGCGGGGCCCUGGUAGGAUGCGUUCCACGCUCUGUGCUUCCCAGCGGGACGGCAGAUUCUUUCUCCUAGGAGGAGCCUCAAUCAUUUUCCCAUGGUCAACCCCAUAAAUAUUUCAUAUCUCAACUUGCGCUGAAGGGUGGCCUUUGAGAUUUUGAAAAAUUAGGUCGCAAUGGGUUUGACCUGAGCCAAAUGGUGAGAGGCUGAGUGGUGAAGAAGUAGCUCCCUUUGUUAUCCAUCACAGACGGAGGCAGGUGCACGAUUGUUCCUAGAGCAGUUUUCGUGCAUAAAACAUCCUGUACGUGGAGAACACUGUCAGAUGGCGGAAUGCAUCACGUUUAUUUCUGAGACGUGGUCGCCUGUUUGUCCCUGUGUUUGGUAAAUACACUGCUGUUAAGUUGAGUGGAUGGCUGUCAGUUCUGUUUCCUUUCAAGACAUCCAGUCGAUAUGAGAGUCUUGCCAACCAUCUAGUUGUUUCCUGUAAGUUGCAUAUUUAUUUGUCUGUCCUUGAUUUGGUGAACUUAUGGACAUCGGUAAUGGCACAGUUUUCCGCUGGAGUCUGCUUCCUCCUCUCCACUCAGUCCUGCAGAUGUGCCCUGCUGGCUGUCCCCUGAACGUGCCGGGUGUCACUCAUCUCAACGUCCCACUCUUCCGGCUCGACAAGCUCCCGAUUACAUAGAAACAAAUUAAUUUCACCCCACAAUGACCCCAUCAAUUAAAAUAGAGGAUCUGUUUCAAUAGACCAUUUAUCUCUUUAAGACAGAAGGAGGGGAAUGCCUAAGUCACAAAAUCCACAGUAAAUCCUGUUGGUUGCACAAUU
ensembl:lncRNA